rnacentral:tRNA from 1 species
CGGUUGGUAGUCUAGAGUAAGAUCCCCGGCUCGCCGGAAGAUGACGGUUCGAAUCCGUCCCAACCGU